UACAGAGGGUGCGAGCGUUAAUCGGAAUUACUGGGCGUAAAGCGUGCGUAGACGGUAGCGUAAGUCAGAUGUGAAAGCCCCGGGCUCAACCUGGGAACUGCAUUUGAGACUGCUCUGCUCGGGUGCGGAAGAGGGAAGCGGAAUUUCCGGUGUAGCGGUGAAAUGCGUAGAUAUCGGAAGGAACACCAGUGGCGAAAGCGGCUUCCUGGUCCGACACCGACGUUCAGGCACGAAAAGCGUGGGGGAGCAAACAGG
rnacentral:rRNA from 1 species